GACAGAGGGUGCAAACGUUGCUCGGAAUUACUGGGCGUAAAGCGCGUGUAGGCGGUCACCCCAGUCAGGUGUGAAAGCCCAAGGCUCAACCUUGGAAUUGCCUUUGAUACUGAGGGCCUUGAGACCGGAAGAGGUCGGCGGAACUGCGAGUGUAGAGGUGAAAUUCGUAGAUAUUCGCAAGAACACCGGUGGCGAAGGCGGCCAACUGGACCAUUACUGACGCUGAGGCGCGAAAGCGUGGGGAGCAAACAGG
rnacentral:rRNA from 1 species